GCCAGGCAUGGUGGUGCAUACUUGUAGUCCCAGCUACUCAGGAGGCUGAGGUGGGAGAAUUGCUUGAGCCCAGGAGCUCAAGGCUGCAGUGAGCUGUGAUCUCCACUGCGCUCUAGCCUGGGCAACAGAGCAAGACCCUGUCUCAA
rnacentral:SRP_RNA from 2 species